GUCGAACGCUGAAGCACCAGCUUGCUGGUGUGGAUGAGUGGCGAACGGGUGAGUAAUACGUGAGUAACCUGCCCUUGACUCUGGGAUAAGCCCGGGAAACUGGGUCUAAUACUGGAUGCUACAUGUCACCGCAUGGUGGUGUGUGGAAAGGGUUUACUGGUCUUGGAUGGGCUCACGGCCUAUCAGCUUGUUGGUGAGGUAAUGGCUCACCAAGGCGACGACGGGUAGCCGGCCUGAGAGGGUGACCGGCCACACUGGGACUGAGACACGGCCCAGACUCCUACGGGAGGCAGCAGUGGGGAAUAUUGCACAAUGGGCGAAAGCCUGAUGCAGCGACGCCGCGUGAGGGAUGACGGCCUUCGGGUUGUAAACCUCUUUCAGCAGGGAAGAAGCCACAAGUGACGGUACCUGCAGAAGAAGCGCCGGCUAACUACGUGCCAGCAGCCGCGGUAAUACGUAGGGCGCAAGCGUUGUCCGGAAUUAUUGGGCGUAAAGAGCUCGUAGGCGGUUUGUCGCGUCUGCUGUGAAAGCCCGGGGCUUAACCCCGGGUGUGCAGUGGGUACGGGCAGACUAGAGUGCAGUAGGGGAGACUGGAAUUCCUGGUGUAGCGGUGGAAUGCGCAGAUAUCAGGAGGAACACCGAUGGCGAAGGCAGGUCUCUGGGCUGUUACUGACGCUGAGGAGCGAAAGCAUGGGGAGCGAACAGGAUUAGAUACCCUGGUAGUCCAUGCCGUAAACGUUGGGCACUAGGUGUGGGGGACAUUCCACGUUUUCCGCGCCGUAGCUAACGCAUUAAGUGCCCCGCCUGGGGAGUACGGACGCAAGGCUAAAACUCAAAGGAAUUGACGGGGGCCCGCACAAGCGGCGGAGCAUGCGGAUUAAUUCGAUGCAACGCGAAGAACCUUACCAAGGCUUGACAUAUACCGGAUCG
rnacentral:rRNA from 1 species